CCUACGGGUGGCAGCAGUGGGGAAUAUUGCACAAUGGGGGGAACCCUGAUGCAGCGACGCCGCGUGAGUGAAGAAGUAUUUCGGUACGUAAAGCUCUAUCAGCAGGGACGAAAAAAGGACGGUACCUGAGUAAGAAACCCAGGCUAACUACGUGCCAGCAGCCGCGGUAAGACGUAGGGGGCAAGCGUUAUCCGGAAUUACUGGGGGUAAAGGGAGCGUAGACGGCAAUGCAAGUCCGGAGUGGAAUGCGGCAGCUCAACUGCCGAACUGCACUGGAAACUGUAUUGCCUGAGUGCAGGAGGGGUAAGCGGAAUUCCGGGUGUAGCGGUGAAAUGCGUAGAUAUACGGAGGAACACCGGUGGCGAAGGCGGCUUACUGGACUGUAACUGACGUUGAGGCUCGAAAGCGUGGGGAGCAAACAGGAUUAGAUACCCGAGUAGUC
rnacentral:rRNA from 1 species